rnacentral:rRNA from 1 species
GGGGGGUGCAAGCGUUAUUCGGAAUCACUGGGCGUAAAGAGCGCGUAGGCGGUUUCUUAAGUCAGAUGUGAAAGCCCGGGGCUUAACCCCGGAAGUGCAUUUGAAACGGAGGGACUUGAGUAUGGGAGAGGGAAGUGGAAUUCCUGGUGUAGCGGUGAAAUGCGUAGAUAUCAGGAGGAACACCGGUGGCGAUGGCGACUUCCUGGACCAAUACUGACGCUGAGGCGCGAAGGCGUGGGGAGCAAACAGGAUUAGAUACCCUGGUAGUCCACGCAGUAAACGUUGAACACUAGGUGUAGCGGGUAUUGACCCCCCUGUCUGUGCCCGCAGCUAACGCAUUAAGUGUUCCGCCUGGGGAGUACGCCGCAAGGCUA